rnacentral:lncRNA from 1 species
UUGUAUAUGUAUAAGUAUCCUAGAAAUUUACUUAUAUAAGUGUAUUGAUAUUGCUUCUUCAAGUAAAAAAAAAUUACUUGUACAAGUAGUACCCCUGACUGUACACCCAGUAUGGUUUAAAAGACUCUCAUAUUAUUCAUCCUCAUUCCUCAGAAAAUUUUAUUGUCAUGAUUGUAAAGUAGUUUUCACUUAAAAUAAGUUUUUGAGAAUUUUAAUUGUUAAUAGUCAUUGUCAGAUAACUGACUUUGCAGGGAAAGGCUCAUGAAGUUUACUGUGGUUAAUAUUUGUAUAUGUGUACAGCAUGUACAGUACAAGUGUUGUAACGGUAUUAACUUUUUUCAUUGGAUUACAAUAUAUUGUUAGUUAUUUGUUGUGUAGAAAUUCCAUACUUUUAUAGGUAACAUAUAUACUAUUAUUAAAAUGUAUAAUGUCCAUGCUAUUGUGAUGCAAAAUAUUAUGUUGUCAUAACAUCGAUCGCCAAUGAUCCAACUUUUUGUAUAACACCUAAAUUUACAUGGAAUUCAUUGUUAAAAGUGACCUACCAUUUCCAUGUAGUUGAUGUCGUUGAGAAAAUGAAGUAAGUCUAAACCUCUUAGAAAUGGUUUAUGUAUGUGUACUACAGUAAUGUAUUAUUAUAUUUGAUCAAAAAUUUAAAGGUAUUGCUAAUUGUAUUUGGUCACUUCAAGGGAUGAACAUCUGAAUUUGUCAAAAUUUACUGUUCUUUGAAUUAACAUGAUUAAGAUUUUAAAUAAUAUACCGUGGGGAUUUUCAUUGAGUUUAAAAUUUUAACAAUUUUAUAUAUUUAAUUUGAAAAUCAAAAUGUUACUCAGCUCUAUAUUGCUAAGAUUAUGAGUUUGAUACAUCGUUUCUGUAAAACUUUGCAUAACUGUUAAACAUUCUAACAUCAUGGAAAUUGGGACAAAUGGGAAUGAGACAUCAAUCCACUAAAAUUGGCUUUGCUAGCUCUGCUGACAGAGUUUAAAUUUUGCUUAAGAAUGUUUACGUUACAUAUUUUUUUGUCGAGUGCAACAUUUUGACACAGACACUGGAGCUAGACAUAGCAAUCCUACAUUCUGGCAUGGUUUUUUAUACCAAUAUUUAGGUUCAGCCUAUGGUUGAAUGUCUUUUUAGACUUCAUUCACUGUAAUAUCUGUUGUAUCGCUAUAUUUUUAUGUGUUUUUGAGUAAGCCCCGCCCCUGUCAGGCCUGUAAUACUGGUGUAUUUAUUUUUACACAUCCUCAAGAAAACCCAAAAAUCAAAAAUUUUGAAAAAAGGAAAUACAACAUGUACAAUAUCUUCUAAUUUUUUGGGCUAUCUUUUAAUGUUAAACAUGUUCAAACAGAAAUUUAUAAGUAGGAGAAACACUUUAAUAGUUGCAUUGCAUUUAAAAUACAUAUAAAUCCAGCUGAGGAAAUGUAUUUGGAAACAACAGUAUGUGGAAAAAGUAAGCAAUGAAUGAUAGAAUUUGUAAUGGUUUUUUUUUUAGAUUUGAUAUACAUGUAAUACUAACUUGAACAUGAUGUGGUCUGAGACCACAAUUGUUGUCCCUUGAUUUUCGUUGUUCACGAAUAUAGUCCCUAGUGUUGACAGUGGGUUACUUGCCAUUAAUUUUUAUACCCCUUCCAAAUAUAUUUCUCCAUGUUUAAUGUCUCAAAUUGCAAGAAUGGGGGUGAAAUUACACUUUAAAAAUUUGGGUCCCGAUUGUAGUGAUUUGGUCCAAAAAGGUUAAAAAUUAGCACUUCGGAAGCUGUCAAAAGAUUUCAAACGCC